UGGUGGAGUGAUUUGUCUGGUUAAUUCCGUUAACGAACGAGACCUCGACCUGCUAAAUAGUCUGCCGAACGCAUUACGCGUUCGCCGCAAUUACGACUUCUUAGAGGGACUAUCGGUGCGAAGCCGGUGGAAGUUCGAGGCAAAAACA
rnacentral:rRNA from 1 species